UUUAAAGUUGUUCACAAUUAAAUUCAAUAAUGAAAAGUAUUAAUAUUUAAACUUUGAAUUAUUACUGAAAAUUAAAAAAUACAUAUGAAUAAUAAAUAUGCUAUUUCAUUUUACUUGAACAUUAAAAAAAGUUAUAUAAUAUUGUAUCCCAAAUAUUAAUAGCGCAUAAUAAAAUGUUAUAAAAAUUAAUUUUAUUCUAUAUAAAAAAUAA
rnacentral:lncRNA from 1 species